GAUGAACGCUGGCGGCGUGCCUAAUACAUGCAAGUCGAGCGAACAGACGAGGAGCUUGCUCCUCUGACGUUAGCGGCGGACGGGUGAGUAACACGUGGAUAACCUACCUAUAAGACUGGGAUAAUUUCGGGAAACCGGAGCUAAUACCGGAUAAUAUAUUGAACCGCAUGGUUCAAUAGUGAAAGUCGGUUUUGCUGUCACUAAUAGAUGGAUCCGCGCCGCAUUAGCUAGUUGGUAAGGUAACGGCUUACCAAGGCAACGAUGCGUAGCCGACCUGAGAGGGUGGUCGGCCACACUGGAACUGAGACACGGUCCAGACUCCUGCGGGAGGCAGCAGUAGAGAAUCUUCCGCAAUGGGCGAGAGCUUGACGGAGCAACGCCGCGUGAGUGAUGAAGGUCUUCGGAUCGUAAAACUCUGUUAUUAGGGAAGAACAAAUGUGUAAGUAACUAUGCACGUCUUGACGGUACCUAAUCAGAAAGCCACGGCUAACUACGUG
rnacentral:rRNA from 1 species